UAUCAAUUAAGCGGAGGAAAAGAAACUAACAAGGAUUCCCCUAGUAACGGCGAGUGAACCGGGAAGAGCUCAAAUUUGAAAUCUGGCGUCCUCAGGGCGUCCGAGUUGUAAUCUAUAGAGGCGUUUUCCGUGCCGGACCGUGUCCAAGUUCCUUGGAACAGGAUAUCAAAGAGGGUGACAAUCCCGUACUUGACACGACGACCGGUGCUCUGUGAUACGUCUUCUACGAGUCGAGUUGUUUGGGAAUGCAGCUCAAAAUGGGUGGUGAGUUCCAUCUAAAGCUAAAUAUUGGCGAGAGACCGAUAGCGAACAAGUACCGUGAGGGAAAGAUGAAAAGCACUUUGGAAAGAGAGUUAAACAGUACGUGAAGAAAGGGAAACGAUUGAAGUCAGUCGUGACCGAGAGGCUCAGCCGGUUCUGCCGGUGUAUUCCCCUCGGUCGGGUCAACAUCAGUUUUGUCCGGUGGAUAAGGGCGGUAGGAAGGUGGCACCCUCGGGUGUGUUAUAGCCUGCCGUCGCAUACAUCGGGUGAGACUGAGGAACGCAGCUCGCCUUUAUGGCCGGGGUUCGCCCACGUCCGAGCUUAGGAUGUUGACAUAAUGGCUUUAAACGACCCGUCUUGAAACAA
rnacentral:rRNA from 1 species